CCUACGGGAGGCAGCAGUGGGGAAUAUUGCGCAAUGGGCGGAAGCCUGACGCAGCGACGCCGCGUGGGGGAUGACGGCCUUCGGGUUGUAAACCUCCUUCAGCAGGGACGAAGCGAAAGUGACGGUACCUGCAGAAGAAGCACCGGCCAACUACGUGCCAGCAGCCGCGGUAAUGCGUAGGGUGCAAGCGUUGUCCGGAAUUAUUGGGCGUAAAGAGCUCGUAGGCGGUUUGUUGCGUCGGCUGUGAAAUCCCGAGGCUCAACCUCGGGUCUGCAGUCGAUACGAGCAAACUAGAGUGUUGCAGGGGAGACUGGAAUUCCUGGUGUAGCGGUGAAAUGCGCAGAUAUCAGGAGGAACACCGGUGGCGAAGGCGGGUCUCUGGGCAACAACUGACGCUGAGGAGCGAAAGCGUGGGGAGCGAACAGGAUUAGGUACCCUGGUAGUCCACGCCGUAAACGUUGGGCGCUAGGUGUGGGGCUCAUUCCACGAGUUCCGUGCCGCAGCUAACGCAUUAAGCGCCCCGCCUGGGGAGUACGGCCGCAAGGCUAAAACUCAAAGGAAUUGACGGGGGCCCGCACAAGCGGCGGAGCAUGUUGCUUAAUUCGAUGCAACGCGAAGAACCUUACCUAGGCUUGACAUGCACGGAAAUCUCCCAGAGAUGGGAGGUCCGUAAGGGCCGUGCACAGGUGGUGCAUGGUUGUCGUCAGCUCGUGUCGUGAGAUGUUGGGUUAAGUCCCGCAACGAGCGCAACCCUCGUUCUAUGUUGCCAGCACGUGAUGGUGGGGACUCAUAGGAGACUGCCGGGGUCAACUCGGAGGAGGGUGGGGGAUGACGUCAAAUCAUCAUGCCCCUUAUGUCUAGGGCUGCAAACAUGCUACAAUGGCCGGUACAAAGGGCUGCGAUACCGCGAGGGUGAGCGAUCCCAAAAGCCGUCUUCAGUUUCGGAUUGGGGUCUGCAACUCGACCCCAUGAAGUUGGAGUCCCUAGUAAUCGCAGAUCAGCAACGCCGCCGGGUGAAUACGGUC
rnacentral:rRNA from 1 species